GUCCUCGUGGAGCAUGGCAGCUUGCUCCCUCGCAUUACAAACUCAGUCAUCUGAGAGAGUCGGUGGUUCGAUUCCACCCGAGGACA